rnacentral:rRNA from 1 species
UACGAAGGACCCGAGCGUUAUCCGGAUUUAUUGGGUUUAAAGGGUGCGUAGGCGGAUUAGUAAGUCAGUGGUGAAAGCCCAUCGCUUAACGGUGGAACUGCCAUUGAUACUGCUAGUCUUGAGUAUGGUUGAGGUGGGCGGAAUGUGUCAUGUAGCGGUGAAAUGCUUAGAUAUGACCCAGAACACCAAUUGCGAAAGGCAAGCUCACAAAACUGUA